rnacentral:rRNA from 1 species
UCCGUAGGUGACCUGCGGAAGGAUCAUUG